rnacentral:rRNA from 1 species
CCUACGGGAGGCAGCAGUGGGGAAUUUUGGACAAUGGGCGCAAGCCUGAUCCAGCCAUGCCGCGUGCGGGAAGAAGGCCUUCGGGUUGUAAACCGCUUUUGUCAGGGAAGAAAAUGUUCUGGAUAAUACCUGGGACUCAUGACGGUACCUGAAGAAUAAGCACCGGCUAACUACGUGCCAGCAGCCGCGGUAAUACGUAGGGUGCAAGCGUUAAUCGGAAUUACUGGGCGUAAAGCGUGCGCAGGCGGUUAUGCAAGACAGAGGUGAAAUCCCCGGGCUCAACCUGGGAACUGCCUUUGUGACUGCAUAGCUAGAGUACGGUAGAGGGGGAUGGAAUUCCGCGUGUAGCAGUGAAAUGCGUAGAUAUGCGGAGGAACACCGAUGGCGAAGGCAAUCCCCUGGACCUGUACUGACGCUCAUGCACGAAAGCGUGGGGAGCAAACAGGAUUAGAUACCCUGGUAGUCCACGCCCUAAACGAUGUCAACUGGUUGUUGGGAGGGUUUCUUCUCAGUAACGUAGCUAACGCGUGAAGUUGACCGCCUGGGGAGUACGGCCGCGAAGGUUGAAACUCAAAGAGUAGUGCGUGNGAGAGCGACGACGACGACGACGGAGGGAGGAGG